CACUGACAGCCGUUGGAGAUCGUUGCACUCGAGGAAACCAAAAUCAAAUGGACACCUUAAAAAUACUUAAGUCCCAAGGACAGAAAAUGUACAAUGGCCUGGGCUCCAUUGGGGGACACACCCUGUAUAUGAGCAGCUUGGAGGCCCUUGUAGGCCAGUGUGAGCUGCCUGAUGAGGUUAUUAAUGCACUUUUUGUGGUAUUCAGUAAGG